rnacentral:rRNA from 1 species
GACGAACGCUGGCGGCGUGCCUAAUACAUGCAAGUAGAACGCUGAAGGAGGAGCUUGCUUCUCUGGAUGAGUUGCGAACGGGUGAGUAACGCGUAGGUAACCUGCCUGGUAGCGGGGGAUAACUAUUGGAAACGAUAGCUAAUACCGCAUAAGAGUAGAUGUUGCAUGACAUUUGCUUAAAAGGUGCAAUUGCAUCACUACCAGAUGGACCUGCGUUGUAUUAGCUAGUUGGUGAGGUAACGGCUCACCAAGGCGACGAUACACAGCCGACCUGAGAGGGUGAUCGGCCACACUGGGACUGAGACACGGCCCAGACUCCUACGGGAGGCAGCAGUAGGGAAUCUUCGGCAAUGGACGGAAGUCUGACCGAGCAACGCCGCGUGAGUGAAGAAGGUUUUCGGAUCGUAAAGCUCUGUUGUAAGAGAAGAACGAGUGUGAGAGUGGAAAGUUCACACUGUGACGGUAUCUACCAGAAAAGGACGGUA